rnacentral:rRNA from 1 species
UGAGCAACCUGCCCUUGACUCCGGAAUAACAGCUGGAAACAGCUGCUAAUACCGGAUAUGACCUCCGAUGGCAUCAUCUGGAGGUGGAAAGCUCCGACGGUCAAAGGAUGGGCUCGCGGCCUAUCAGCUUGUUGGUGAGGUAACGGCUCACCAAGGCGACGACGGGUAGCUGGUCUGAGAGGAUGGCCAGCCACAUUGGGACUGAGACACCGGCACGA